rnacentral:misc_RNA from 1 species
ACUAAAAGUCGUAACAAGGUAACCGUAGGUGAACCUGCGGUUGGAUCAUUACUAAAUGAUAGCCAGUUCUCCCUGCCUCGGCGGGGAUUGAGCAGGCAUUAACCCUUUGUGAACUGUAUUCUUAUACUGGGUGCUGAAUCUUUUGGGAGACGGCGCUCAUUAUAAACCCCUAUAUGUUUAACUGAAAAAGAGUAAGAGAAACAACUUUUGACAAUGGAUCUCUUGGCUCUCGC